rnacentral:rRNA from 1 species
AUUGAACGCUGGCGGCAUGCCUUACACAUGCAAGUCGAACGGCAGCACGGGAGCUUGCUCCUGGUGGCGAGUGGCGAACGGGUGAGUAAUAUAUCGGAACGUACCCUAGAGUGGGGGAUAACGCAGCGAAAGUUGCGCUAAUACCGCAUACGAUCUACGGAUGAAGGUGGGGGAUCGCAAGACCUCAUGCUCAUGGAGCG